UCGAGAAUUUUUCUCAAUGGGGGAAACCCUGAAGGAGCGACGCCGCGUGGAGGAUGAAGGUCUUCGGAUUGUAAACUCCUGUCAUUAGAGAACAAGACCCACUUAGUAACUGAUGUUGGGUUCGAUAGUAUCUGAAGAGGAAGAGACGGCUAACUCUGUGCCAGCAGCCGCGGUAAUACAGAGGUCUCAAGCGUUGUUCGGAUUCAUUGGGCGUAAAGGGUGCGCAGGCGGCGAGGCAAGUCGGACGUGAAAUCCCGGGGCUUAACCCCGGAACUGCGUUCGAUACUGCCUUGCUCGAGGACUGGAGAGGAGACUGGAAUUCCUGGUGUAGCAGUGAAAUGCGUAGAUAUCAGGAGGAACGCCAAUGGCGAAGGCAAGUCUCUGGACAGUUCCUGACGCUCAUGCACGAAGGCCAGGGGAGCAAACGG
rnacentral:rRNA from 1 species